GCCUGGGUGCUCAGUCAGUUAAGCAUCUGACUUCAACUCAGGUCAUGAUCUCUCAGUUCGUGGGUUCAAGUCCCACGUCGGGCU
rnacentral:tRNA from 1 species